GACGUAGGGCGCGAGCGUUGUCCGGAUUUAUUGGGCGUAAAGAGCGUGUAGGCGGCCAGCUAGGUCUGCUGUGAAAACUCGAGGCUCAACCUCGAGACGUCGGCGGAAACCAUCUGGCUAGAGUCCGGAAGAGGAGAGUGGAAUUCCUGGUGUAGCGGUGAAAUGCGCAGAUAUCAGGAAGAACACCCGUGGCGAAGGCGGCUCUCUGGGACGGUACUGACGCUGAGGCGCGAAAGCGUGGGGAGCAAACAGG
rnacentral:rRNA from 1 species